CUUUCCCGACUUCUGCCGAGAUCCGCGAGAUGAGGGGAAAAAAGGGAGAAAAUACGGCAAAAAAAAUUUCGCGUCCGUAAAUUCGUGUUUGAUCUUGGUAUCAGCUGCUUAUAUCCAAAAUACCUAUUGCUUAACCAAAAUCAGACGUUAUUUUCAAAACCUAAAAAAUGAUACAAUCCUCAAAUCCCGGCCUAUAUCAGCAUCAUCUUUAUCUCUUGAAACGCUACAAGUUUUGUAUGAAACUUUUUCUUGUAUCUCUUUUCCUUUCCGAGAUAUUCGCACGGGGUAUUUGAAACCGACCACCCUGUACUACGUGAAAUAUAGCUUAAAAUAAUGUUUAUACAGGCUGUAGUUACUUAUGUUUGAGCAUAUAUGCUUAUGAUAUGAUAAUCACAGUAGUAAAAUAAUUCGAAGUUAACAAAAUCAGUUAUUACCUACAGGUAUGUACAUUACAUGAUAAUAUGCCUUUAUCGCCCCACUUUGUAAAAAGGGAACAAGUAUCCAGUUCAUUUCUUCCGUUCAACUUUUUAUUCCACUUUACUAUCUAUUAACAAUUGUUGAAAGAGAUAAAUUCACGGUUACUCAAAUUUCUUACUAUUUAGAAACAAAAUAAAUGGUUGUUAUAUCACAAUAAGUCUAGAAUCUUGUGGCCAAUGAUCGGAACGUAAUGCUUUUGAACUUUUACGACGAUAUUAUUCAGCAUCCGUCUUAACAGUAUGCAAUAACGAUAUAGAAAAAAAAAACAAAUAAAAAUAAAAAAAUAAAGAUGAUAAACAAUAUAUAAAUGUAUUUUUAUUGAUUGAAUUUAUAAAUUAGUUCAAUACCAAAUAUCGCUCUCCUCCCAUCCUUCCUCCUUCCUUCUACCUUACCGUGUGCCAUGAUUUGAAAACAU